CGAAACUCACCGAGUCAAAGCGUUUUCCCGUUUGCGGAAGAAGGCUGAUGUGGAACAAGUAGUUGAAGUAUACAUGCUCUUGAGUGAUCAACCGAAAUUCAAAGACAACUGAAAUUCGGCAACCGGGCAUCGAAGUCGGAAUGCCAGGAAACUCACCGAGUCAAAGCGUUUCGCUGUUAGCGGAAGAAGUCUAAAUUGGAACAAGUACCAGAAGCAAACAUGCUCAAGAGCGAUCACCCGAAAUUCAAAGGCAACUCAAUUUCGGCAAACAGGGCAUCGAAGUCGGAAUGGCGUGAAACUCACUGAUUCAAAGCGUUUCGCCGUUUGCGGAAGAAGUUUGAUGUGGAACAAGUACCAGAAGCAUACAUGCUCAAGAGGGAUCACCCGAAAUUCAAAGGCAACUCAAUUUCGGCAAACGGGGCAUCGAAGUUGGAAUGCAGCGAAACUCACCGAUUCAAAGCGUUUCGUCGUUUGCGGAAGAAGUUUGAUGUGGAACAAGUACCGGAAGCAUACAUGCUCAAGGGGCAUCACCCGAAAUUCAAAGGCAAUUGAAUUUCAGCAACCAGGGCAUCGAAGUCGGAAUGUCGCGAAACUCACCGAGUCAAGCGUUUCGCCGUUUGCGGAAGAAGUUUGAUGUGGAACAAGUACCAGAAGCAUACAUGCUCAAGAGGCAUCACCCGAAAUUCAAAGGCAACUGAAU
rnacentral:lncRNA from 1 species